GACGAACCGUGCGAACGUUGUUCGGAAUCACUGGGCAUAAAGGGCGCGUAGGCGGCUUGUCAAGUCAGGGGUGAAAUCCGGCAGCUCAACUGUCGAAGUGCCUUUGAUACUGACGAGCUCGAGGGAGGUAGGGGUCGCUGGAACUUCCGGUGGAGCGGUGAAAUGCGUUGAUAUCGGAAGGAACGCCGGUGGCGAAAGCGAGCGACUGGACCUCUUCUGACGCUGAGGCGCGAAAGCUAGGGGAGCAAACAGG
rnacentral:rRNA from 1 species